GAGGUGACACGGCGUCACCGCGGACAGCGCCCGGCCCGGAGCCCGCACGGGCGGACGGUUCCCUGCUGCUGUCAGCCCCGCGGGGGCGGCACCGACGGCUGGGGACAAGGCGGGGAUGGUAGGGCGAGAGCCCGGUGUGGCGGUGGUCUAAAGUUACAGACUGCCUCGGAAUCACAGAAUCAAUUUGGUUGGAAAAGACAAGAUCACUGAGUUGAACUUAUGACUGAACACGAUGUAAACUAGACCAUGGCUCCAAGUGCCAUGCUCAGCCUUUGCUUAAACACAGGGAUGUUUAAGGGAUGGUGACUCCACCACCUCCCCCGGCAGUCCUUUCCAAUGUCUAAUCACCGUUUCUGUGAAACAACAACGACAAGUUCUGGUGCAGUUUAAGCCUAA